GGGUUUACUUAUUGGUCAGGCUUAAUUGUCUGUACUGGUGAGAUGGAUCUCUACCUUCUGAGGCACUUUCAUGCCAUUUAUUUGGUGUGAUGGGAAAUCAGGACUGUUACUUUGAAAAAAUUAGAGUGUUUAAAGCAGGCUAACGUCUGAAUACAUUAGCAUGGAAUAAUGGAAUAGGACGGACUGAUUCUAUUUCGUUGGUUUCUGAGAUCGCCGUA
rnacentral:rRNA from 1 species